rnacentral:rRNA from 1 species
UACCUACGGGAGGCAGCAGUAGGGAAUCUUCCACAAUGGACGAAAGUCUGAUGGAGCAACGCCGCGUGAAGGAAGACGGUUUUCGGAUUGUAAACUUCUAUCAAUAGGGAAGAAAGAAAUGACGGUACCUAAAUAAGAAGCCCCGGCUAACUACGUGCCAGCAGCCGCGGUAAUACGUAGGGGGCAAGCGUUAUCCGGAAUUACUGGGUGUAAAGGGAGAGUAGGUGGCAAGGUAAGCGAUAUGUGAAAGCCUUAAGCUUAACUUAAGGAUUGCAUAACGAACUAUCUAGCUAGAGUACAGGAGA